rnacentral:rRNA from 1 species
GGACGCUGUUGUUCUAGCAUCCACCAUCUGGUUGGGCCUAACCCCGACUCCCUGAACCAGAUAGCAUGCUGGCGGCCGCCGCCUCCGCCUCGUCCCCGUCGCCAACCUUCAUCUCCCCAUCUCCCCUGUUGGCCUAGCCUCCGGCUCAUCCCCGCCGCCCACCAUCCCAUGGGCAGGCUCAACCUUCGCUUGGUUGCCCCGAAUCCCGGCUCAUCCGAGUCGCCGACAUCCUCAUGGCUUCCCCCAACGUCCUCACGGCCAAAGGGGUGGGCAGAGGACGCCACCACUGCAGAAUCAACAAUUUGGUCGGAGGUGGUCGUCCAUGUCCCUCCACUGCUUGUUCAUACAUCGUCUCAACCAUUGGUAGCCGCGUGAAUUGUCACAGGAUGCAGUACGACACUGUAAUUUGUCCUCUAGAAGGU